AACACUGUUAACCUGCGGUACCUGCGGAGGGAUCAUUACAGAGUUGCAAAACUCCCUAAACCAUUGUGAACGUUACCUAAACCGUUGCUUCGGCGGGCGGCCCGGGUCCUUCCCGGCGCCCCUCGGCCCUCGCGGGCGUCCGCCGGAGGUAAACCAAACUAUUGCAUUGUAUGGCCUCUCUGAGUCUUCUGUACUGAAUAAGUCAAAACUUUUAGCAAUGGAUCUCAGAUCGGAAGAGCA
rnacentral:misc_RNA from 1 species